GAUGAACGCUGGCGGCGUGCCUAAUACAUGCAAGUCGAGCGAAUGGAUUAAGAGCUUGCUCUUAUGAAGUUAGCGGCGGACGGGUGAGUAACACGUGGGUAACCUGCCCAUAAGACUGGGAUAACUCCGGGAAACCGGGGCUAAUACCGGAUAACAUUUUGAACCGCAUGGUUCGAAAUUGAAAGGCGGCUUCGGCUGUCACUUAUGGAUGGACCCGCGUCGCAUUAGCUAGUUGGUGAGGUAACGGCUCACCAAGGCAACGCUGCGUAGCCGACCUGAGAGGGGGAUCGGCCACACUGGGACUGAGACACGGCCCAGACUCCUACGGGAUGCAGCAGUAGGGCAUCUUCCGCAAUGGACGAAAGUAUGACGGAGCAACGCCGCGUGAGUGAUGAAGGCUUUCGGGUCGUAAAACUCUGUUGUUAGGGAAGAACAAGUGCUAGUUGAAUAAGCUGGCACCUUGACGGUACCUAACCAGAAAGCCACGGCUAACUACGUGCCAGCCGCCGCAGUAA
rnacentral:rRNA from 1 species